GCUGGUCGUGGUGGUGCACGCCUGUAAUCUCAGCUACUUGGGAGGCUGAGGCAGGAGAAUUGCUUGAACCCAGGAGGUGGAGGUUGCAGUGAGCUGAGAUUGUGCUGUUGCACUCUAGCCUGGGUAACAGAGCAAGACCCUGUCUCAA
rnacentral:SRP_RNA from 2 species